rnacentral:sRNA from 1 species
UUCAUCUACUAACCUAGUCACUUCAUUCC